AAUCUACAGUCCAUAAUGGAGCCACUGUACUGGCUUUUGGAAGGAGGAGAUUCUGAAGAUAGGGAGAUUCAGCAAUCAGUCUUUGAAAUUUCCUGUGGUCUGUUCAAUCUAGAUGCAAAGGACAUGGAAAAAUCAAGUGCUCAAGUGGUUUAAAUAUGUUUUGGAUAUUCUUAUUUAUAGAUUACAGGAUUUUUCCAAUUAAAAUCCGCAGUUGUCAUGCAGAAGGAGGUUAUGCCCUUCUUGAUCACCAGUUUAUUUGAAAUGCUUAGCAUUAUAGUGUGUUACUGAAUGCUGUUUUAAUCAAAGUAUAGAAAAAUAAAAACAAUUCUGUAUG
rnacentral:lncRNA from 1 species